UACGAAGGGGGCUAGCGUUGUUCGGAUUUACUGGGCGUAAAGCGCACGUAGGCGGAUCGUUAAGUCGGGGGUGAAAUCCUGGAGCUCAACUCCAGAACUGCCUUCGAUACUGGCGAUCUUGAGUCCGGAGGAGGUGAGUGGAACUCCUAGUGUAGAGGUGGAAUUCGUAGAUAUUAGGAAGAACACCAGUGGCGAAGGCGGCUCACUGGUCCGGUACUGACGCUGAGGUGCGAAAGCGUGGGGAGCAAACAGG
rnacentral:rRNA from 1 species